GGGCAUAUAGCUCAGUUGGUUAGAGCAGUCGGCUCAUAACCGAUUGGUCCCUUGUUCAAGUCAAGGUAUGCCCA
rnacentral:tRNA from 1 species